rnacentral:rRNA from 1 species
GUCAGGGAAUUACGAGCAAAGCUUAAAACCCAAAGGACUUGACGGUCCCCCAUAUCCCCCUAGAGGAGCCUGUCCUAUAAUCGAUAAUCCCCGUUCAACCUCACCAUAUUUAGCUAUCUCAGCCUGUAUACUUCCGUCGUCAGCCUACCACGUGAGCGAUGCUUAGUUAGCCCAAUGUCCACACAUGUGUUCAUAUCGUCAAUACGUCAGGUCAAAGUGCAGUAAAUGCUAUGGGAAGAGAUGGGCUACACUUUUUAAUGUAAAAGAAACGGAAAACAUUAAUGAAACUUUGUUGUGAAGGUGGAUUUAGAAGUAAAAGCAAAACAUUAAGUUCCUUUUAACCUGGCACUGGGGCAUGU